AAAAAUUUUAUCAAGAAAAAACACAUACUAGAAAAAAAUUUUUCUAGAGGCAAAGUACUAGAUCAGAAUGUGGAAGAACUCCAUCCUAGCAUAAGCAUCAACAUCUUGUUGCUUUAAAGUCUUGAGAAAGUGGACCAACUUCCCUGAAUCUGUCAACUCAUCUUAAAACUCACAUGGAUAUUAGGCAAAAUCAAAAGCAAUGUGUGUAAAAAUUCUUUGAAUGGCAUUAUUCUAUAAGUGUAAGCAUAAGUGGUUUUUACAGAUGUCACCACCGUUCAAUGCAGAAAUGAUGGGCAAUCACCAAAGCUCAACUUACUAAAGCAAUUAUACUGGCUAACUUAUCCAGUAGAGACGGGGUUUCACCAUGUUAGCCAGGAUGGUCUCGAUCUUCUGACCUCGUGAUCCGUCCGCCUCAGCCUUCCAAAGUUCUGGGAUUACAGACGUGAGCCACCGCGCCCGGCCAAAAGAUCCAUAAACUUUGAGUCACCAGAUAGAGCUAACAUUUACCACAGAGGCAUGUAAAGAAAACGAUUCUAGCAGAGUAACUAUAAUACAAAAGAACAAUAUUCCAAUUAUGUUCCUAUGUUCUAUCCAGGAAGGUUUAAGAGGAGCCUUUUAAACUGAACUAUAUUCUAAGAGGUGGGAAAAAGUUUUCUUUUGUUUUUCUUAUUAACCGUACCUUGAAAGCCCCAAAUAAAUGUUCCUUGGUUUAGAUGCCCUGGUAGAUGACCAAAAAAGUUUGACCAGUUAUCAAAAUCUACAAAGACUAUAUGAGUCAUGGUUCGCAGGUAAUCCAAAUCUGGAAGCUCAACAAUUUCUUCCUCUGAGAAGAGAGAAAUAUCAACAUGAGUUCAGUAAGAAUUUGCUAAAAUCAUUCUGAUUUCAAGUCCAAAAAGUAUUAGAAGCCUAAUAUGCAAAAAUACUAACCUUGAAUGUUACUCAUUUCUAUCUAAACCUUUUUGUGAAAUCCAAAUCUGUACAUGACACCAUUUACACUUAAAUCAGAUAAAAAUAAUCUGAACAUUUCACCAAUUUUGGUUAUAUAUCCUUCUUGCAAACAUUUUCUUCCAACAACUCUAAAGCUUGUUAAAAAGUCACUUAUACAAGGAAUUUUUUUAAAAAAUUAAUGUACUAGAAGAACUAGAAAACCAAGUUUUAAGGUUAAAUAAGCAAAAACUAAUACCACCCAUAUAAAAUUCCAAGGUUACCUAUUAAGAACAUUUUCACCACCAGAAUUUGGUUCUUUUCCCAGUCUGGACUGAUUUAUUAGUAGCCCUCUAGUUCUAGGAUUAAACACCCUAGAGAGCAGAAAUAAGAUAACCUAGAAUCCUGCUGCCAUAAAGCAGUGCUAGAAAUAUGUGCCAGUGGUACAGAGACACCUCCCCCUAUAAACACAUCUUCUUGGUUCUCUCAGAUUCUUCUUUCACCUUCCCCCAUGCCCCAACUCUCAUUCUCCCUCCCCUUUAUCUUGUUUCAUACUUUUCCACUUUGACAAGGCCUUAAAGUUUC
rnacentral:lncRNA from 10 species